ensembl:lncRNA
AUUUUAUUUUUGUUGUGUUUUCAGGUGAAGCCAAACUAAAGCUCAAAUUUAGAAGGGAUCAUUGGAUGCUUUUCCUAAAACAGCAAAGAACUCACUCUAGGCCAGGCUGGUCUGGAACUAACAGAUCCAUCUCCCUCUUCCCCUGCUCAGGAGUGCUGGGAUUCAGGGUCUUUAAAGCACAGAACUGCCAACAAUUCAACACAGAGUAUGAAAAAUGGCGGCGAAGUACAGUGUCGAAUGUCUUCAGAGAGGAUGGACAAGGACGGGAGGUAGGUGUCUCAGCAACACUUUCACUCCUCCCCCAUCGUUCUGUCUGACUGUCUGUCUUUUGGUGCUUGAGUUCUGAUACAGGUCCUUAUCCAGUAGAUUGGUAAGAGUAUAAAGUGAAAAUGGAAGCUAAACUGCCCAGAUCAGUUUUCCUCACAAUAAAGGAAAAAGGCAAAGAGACCUCCCAUUUAUUCCAGUUUUUAAAGGCAGGAGCAGAGAGCUAGAGUCAGUGGACCUUUAAUUCUCUGGGUCAACACUGCCAUCAACAAAUAUUUCAUACAUACCCACACAUGCAUACCUCAUCAUCAAACCUGAUUGUGGACGGC